rnacentral:rRNA from 1 species
UACGUAGGGGGCAAGCGUUGUCCGGAAUCAUUGGGCGUAAAGAGCUCGUAGGCGGCCUGUUGCGUCCGCUGUGAAAUCCCGGGGCUUAACCCCGGGCUUGCAGUGGAUACGGGCAGGCUGGAGGCAGGCAGGGGAGAACGGAAUUCCCGGUGUAGCGGUGAAAUGCGCAGAUAUCGGGAGGAACACCGGUGGCGAAGGCGGUUCUCUGGGCCUGUACUGACGCUGAGGAGCGAAAGCGUGGGGAGCGAACAGG